rnacentral:rRNA from 1 species
UAGGGAAUAUUGGACAAUGGGUGAGAGCCUGAUCCAGCCAUGCCGCGUGCAGGAUGAAGUAUUUCGGUAUGUAAACUUCGUAAGAAUAGGAAGAAUAAAUGACGGUACUAUUUAUAAGGUCCGGCUAACUACGUGCCAGCAGCCGCGGUAAUACGUAGGGACCAAGCGUUGUUCGGAUUUACUGGGCGUAAAGGGCGCGUAGGCGGCAAUUCAAGUCAUCUGUGAAAUCUCCGGGCUUAACUCGGAACGGUCAGAUGAUACUGCUUUGCUAGAGUGCAGAAGGGGCAAUCGGAAUUCUUGGUGUAGCGGUGAAAUGCGUAGAUAUCAAGAGGAACACCUGAGGUGAAGACGGGUUGCUGGGCUGACACUGACGCUGAGGCGCGAAAGCCAGGGGAGCAAACGGGAUUAGAUACCCAAGUAGUCCCUGAGCGGGCUGGCAAGGCGCAU